GCAGACCCAGGACAUGCUGGAGAGAUUAUAUCUCUCGGCUGCCCUGGGAAUGCCU
ensembl:miRNA